GUGUUGUAUGAAAGGAGAGAAGGUUAGGACUCCACUUUACAAUGAUGGAAGAGGCCCUCCGGCAUGACAAAACACAUAUGUUUAAGGCAUUGCCACAUACUUCAUGGAAUCUAACCAUUGUUUUUU
ensembl:snRNA